rnacentral:rRNA from 1 species
AGAGUUUGAUCCUGGCUCAGGACGAACGCUGGCGGCGUGCUUAACACAUGCAAGUCGAGCGGUAAGGCCCUUCGGGGUACACGAGCGGCGAACGGGUGAGUAACACGUGGGUGACCUGCCCCCUACUCUGGGAUAAGCCUGGGAAACUGGGUCUAAUACCGGAUAUGACCUGCGGUUGCAUGAUCGUGGGUGGAAAGUUGUUUCGGUGGGGGAUGGGCCCGCGGCCUAUCAGCUUGUUGGUGGGGUGAUGGCCUACCAAGGCGACGACGGGUAGCCGGCCUGAGAGGGCGACCGGCCACACUGGGACUGAGACACGGCCCAGACUCCUACGGGAGGCAGCAGUGGGGAAUAUUGCGCAAUGGGCGGAAGCCUGACGCAGCGACGCCGCGUGGGGGAUGACGGCCUUCGGGUUGUAAACCUCUUUCGGCCCCGACGAAGCGAACAGUGACGGUAGGGGUAGAAGAAGCACCGGCCAACUACGUG